GUGAGUCAUCGAAUCUUUGAACGCACCUUGCACUCCGUGGCUUUCCACGGAGUACGCCCGUUCGAGUGUCACGUUAACUCUCGCCAAGGGUAAAUCUUACCUGAAAGCGGAUUUGGACGUUGCCGGCGCGUGAGCCCGGCUCGUCUCGAAAUGCAUUAGCGGUGUGCGAUGCGCGCGCGGUGUUGAUAAUUGUCUACGCCUAGCUCGUCUCCCACGUCGCUUCCAAUCGUCGUGAAGACAACUACAUCCAGUUUGACCUCGAAUCGGGCGGGACUACCCGCUGAACUUAAGCAUAUCAAUAAGCGGAGGA
rnacentral:misc_RNA from 1 species